AACGAACGCUGGCGGCAUGGCUAAGACAUGCAAGUCGCACGGACCGUAUAGCAAUAUGCGGUUAGUGGCGAAAGGGAGAGUAAUGAAUAGGUAAUGUACCUUGGACACAGGGAUAACGCCGGGGGCAACCCCUUUACGAAAGUGGCGCUAAUACCUGGUGAAGUCGGGACGGGGCAUCCCGUUGCGACCAGAGGGCGGGGAUCGUAAGACCUGCCGGUCUGAGAGCAGCCUAUCCUAUCACCUAGUUGGUGAGGUAACGGCUCACCAAGGGAUCGACGGGUAGCGGGUGUGAGAGCACGAUCCGCCUCAUCGGGACUGAGACACUGCCCGGACACCGUACGGGUGGCUGCAGUAACGAAUAUUGGG
rnacentral:rRNA from 1 species